rnacentral:rRNA from 1 species
AGCUCCAAUAGCGUAUAUUAAAGUUGUUGCAGUUAAAAAGCUCGUAGUUGGAUUUCGGGAUGAGAAGCAUGGUCUACCGAAAGGUGUGUACUAGGCGGCUCAUUCUUCCUUCUGUAGACCUUUGUGGUUCUUGAUUGGAUUGCAGAGUGGAUGCAGAACGUUUACUUUGAAUAAAUUAGAGUGUUCAAAGCAGGCAUUUGCUUGAAUACAUUAGCAUGGAAUAAUGGAAUAGGACUUUGGUUCUAUUUUGUUGGUUUCUAGGACCGAAGUAAUGAUUAAUAGGGAUAGUUGGGGGCAUUAAUAUUUAAUUGUCAGAGGUGAAAUUCUUGGAUUUAUGAAAGAUUAACUUCUGCGAAAGCAUUUGCCAAGGAUGUUUUCAUUAAUCAAGAACGAAAGUAGG